rnacentral:rRNA from 1 species
CACUCCUGCGGGAGGCAGCAGUGGGGAAUUUUGGACAAUGGGCGAAAGCCUGAUCCAGCAAUGCCGCGUGAGUGAAGAAGGCCUUCGGGUUGUAAAGCUCUUUUGUCAGGGAAGAAACGGUGAAAGCUAAUAUCUUUUGCUAAUGACGGUACCUGAAGAAUAAGCACCGGCUAACUACGUGCCAGCAGCCGCGGUAAUACGUAGGGUGCAAGCGUUAAUCGGAAUUACUGGGCGUAAAGCGUGCGCAGGCGGUUUUGUAAGUCUGAUGUGAAAUCCCCGGGCUCAACCUGGGAAUUGCAUUGGAGACUGCAAGGCUAGAAUCUGGCAGAGGGGGGUAGAAUUCCACGUGUAGCAGUGAAAUGCGUAGAUAUGUGGAGGAACACCGAUGGCGAAGGCAGCCCCCUGGGUCAAGAUUGACGCUCAUGCACGAAAGCGUGGGGAGCAAACAGGAUUAGAAACCCGUGUAGUCCCA